rnacentral:piRNA from 1 species
UGUGAUGUGUGUCUGUUUCCUAGGUGAUGU